rnacentral:tRNA from 8 species
GGCUGGAUGGCCGAGCGGUCUAAGGCGCUAGACUCAAGUUCUAGUAUCGCAAGAUGCGUGGGUUCGAAUCCCACUCCAGUCA